rnacentral:rRNA from 1 species
CCUACGGGUGGCAGCAGUGGGGAAUAUUGCACAAUGGGGGCAACCCUGAUGCAGCGACGCCGCGUGUGUGAAGGAGCGUUUCGGCGCGUAAAGCCCUAUCGGCAGGGAAGAAGGAGGACGGUACCUGACUAAGGAGCCCCGGCUAACUACGUGCCAGCAGCCGCGGUAAUACGUAGGGGGCAAGCGUUAUCCGGAUUUACUGGGUGUAAAGGGGUCGCAGGCGGCAGCGUAAGCCAGGAGUGAAAGCCCGGGGCCCAACCCCGGGACUGCUCUUGGAACUGCGCGGCUUGAGUGCAGGAGGGGCAGGUGGAAUUCCUGGUGUAGCGGUGAAAUGCGUAGAUAUCAGGAGGAAUACCGGUGGCGAAGGCGGCCUGCUGGACUGAGACUGACGUUGAGGCGCGAAAGCGUGGGGAGCAAACAGGAUUAGAUACCCCAGUAGUC